rnacentral:rRNA from 1 species
UACGUAGGGUGCGAGCGUUGUCCGGAAUUAUUGGGCGUAAAGAGCUCGUAGGCGGCUUGUCACGUCGGGUGUGAAAGCCCGGGGCUUAACCCCGGGUCUGCAUUCGAUACGGGCUAGCUAGAGUGUGGUAGGGGAGAUCGGAAUUCCUGGUGUAACGGUGAAAUGCGCAGAUAUCAGGAGGAACACCGGUGGCGAAGGCGGAUCUCUGGGCCAUUACUGACGCUGAGGAGCGAAAGCGUGGGGAGCGAACAGG